AAUUCUCAACUCUUCAAUGGUUUUCAUAAUUGUUGACUGAGCUUGGAUGUGAGGGUUUUGCCGGCUUCUUAGUUGAGUCUGGCUCCCUUGAAAUGCAUUAGCGCAGCUUUGCCAGUCCGCUUCAGGUGUGAUAAUCUAUCUACUCCUUUAGUGACAAGCAUAAAUAGCUUUGUGCUUCCAACCGUCUCCUUGUGAGACAGCAUUUUUUUAA
rnacentral:misc_RNA from 1 species